rnacentral:misc_RNA from 1 species
ACGAGUUGCAAAACUCCCCCCAAGACCUUUGUGAACCUUACCUGUACCGUUUCCUCGGCGGGCGAGCCCCGCCGGAGGCACCAUAAAAACUCUUAUUUUCAGUUGGCCUCUCUGAGUCGUACUUUGCAAAUAAGUCA